CCUACGGGGGGCAGCAGUCGAGAAUCAUUCACAAUGGGGGAAACCCUGAUGGUGCGACGCCGCGUGGGGGAAUGAAGGUCUUCGGAUUGUAAACCCCUGUCAUGUGGGAGCAAAUUAAAAAGAUAGUACCACAAGAGGAAGAGACGGCUAACUCUGUGCCAGCAGCCGCGGGAAUACAGAGGUCUCAAGCGUUGUUCGGAAUCACUGGGCGUAAAGCGUGCGUAGGCUGUUUCGUAAGUCGUGUGUGAAAGGCGCGGGCUCAACCCGCGGACGGCAGAUGAUACUGCGAGACUAGAGUAAUGGAGGGGGAACCGGAAUUCUCGGUGUAGCAGUGAAAUGCGUAGAUAUCGAGAGGAACACUCGUGGCGAAGGCCGGUUCCUGGACAUUAACUGACGCUGAGGCACGAAGGCCAGGGGAGCGAAAGGGAUUAGAUACCCGUGUAGUC
rnacentral:rRNA from 1 species